ensembl:snRNA U1 U1 spliceosomal RNA
ACACCUUGGCAGGGGAGAUACCAUGGCCACAAAGGUGGUUUUUCCAGGGUGAGCCUCAUCCAUUGCACUCAUGAUGAGCUGACCCCUAUGAUUUCCCCCAAAUUCUGGAAACUCAGCUGCAUAAUUUGUGGUCAUGGGGGACUGUGUUUGCAUUCUCCCCUG